rnacentral:rRNA from 1 species
UACGGAGGUGGCAAGCGUUGCUCGGAAUCACUGGGCGUAAAGGGCGCGUAGGCGGGGAGGUAAGUCGGGUGUGAAAUCCCUCGGCCCAACCGAGGAACUGCGCCCGAGACUGCUUCUCUUGAGUCCCGGAGAGGAAGGUGGAAUUCCCGGUGUAGCGGUGAAAUGUGUAGAGAUCGGGAGGAACACCGGUGGCGAAGGCGGCCUUCUGGACGGUGACUGACGCUGAGGCGCGAAAGCGUGGGGAGCGAACAGG